CUCACACAUUGUUCUGCUCUAUCCUCAAAUCGGAGUUCUGUCCUAGGUUUCCUGAUCCACUUGCUUAGCCAUGGCUAUGCAAACCGGAAUUAGCCUCUCAAAGAUCAUCGUCCUCUGCCGGAUACACCGGUACGAUCCUCUUUAAAAACGGCAAAUUAUCAGACCUGAUCGGUGAACUUCAGUCGCUGGUGAAGGGACUUGAAAAAUCUGGAGAGCGUGCAGAUGGUGAUUCUGACUACAGUGAUGCCCUUGCCCAACAGGUGAAGCGGUUGGCAAUGGACGUUCGACAACUGGGCUCAGCACGGCAAAUAACUGUUCUGAAUGGGAGUUCUGGCCAAAUCGGUAAUUUAACUAGUCUCAUAGUUCCAGCUACGGCCUUGGGGGCAUUGGGUUAUGGUUACAUGUGGUG
rnacentral:misc_RNA from 1 species